AUCUGAAAUAGUCCAGUUGGCAGAGCAGGAGACUCCUAAUCUCAGCAUCAUGGGUUUGAGCCCCACAUUGGGCA